rnacentral:rRNA from 1 species
GGUUGAUCCUGCCAGUAGUCAUAUGCUUGUCUUAAAGACUAAGCCAUGCAUGUCUAAGUAUAAGUAUUAUACAGCGAAACUGCGAAUGGCUCAUUAAAACAGUUAUAGUUUAUUCGAUUAUUUUCACCUACAUGGAUAACCGUAGUAAUUCUAGAGCUAAUACAUGCUGUCAAACCUGACUUUUGCGGAAGGGUUGUAUUUAUUAGAUAUAAAACCAAUACUGUAGCAAUACAGUUUUGAGAUGAUUCAUAAUAACUGAGCGGACCGCGGUUUCACUGCGGCGAAUCGUUCAA